rnacentral:rRNA from 1 species
GAUGAACGCUGACAGAAUGCUUAACACAUGCAAGUCAACUUGAAUUUGGGUUUUUAACUUAGUUUUGGGUGGCGGACGGGUGAGUAACGCGUAAAGAACUUGCCUCACAGCUAGGGACAACAUUUGGAAACGAAUGCUAAUACCUAAUAUUAUGAUAAUAGGGCAUCCUAUAAUUAUGAAAGCUAUAAGCGCUGUGAGAGAGCUUUGCGUCCCAUUAGCUAGUUGGAGAGGUAACGGCUCACCAAGGCGAUGAUGGGUAGCCGGCCUGAGAGGGUGAUCGGCCACAAGGGGACUGAGACACGGCCCUUACUCCUACGGGAGGCAGCAGUGGGGAAUAUUGGACAAUGGACCGAGAGUCUGAUCCAGCAAUUCUGUGUGCACGAUGAAGUUUUUCGGAAUGUAAAGUGCUUUCAGUUGGGAAGAAACAAAUGACGGUACCAACAGAAGAAGUGACGGCUAAAUACGUG